rnacentral:rRNA from 1 species
GAUGAACGCUGGCGGCGUGCCUAAUACGUGCAAGUCGAGCGAACGGACGAGAAGCUUGCUUCUCUGAUGUUAGCGGCGGACGGGUGAGUAACACGUGGAUAACCUACCUAUAAGACUGGGAUUACUUCGGGAAACCGGAGCUAAUACCGGAUAAUAUUUUGAACCGCAUGGUUCAAAAGUGAAAGACGGUCUUGCUGUCACUUAUAGAUGGAUCCGCGCUGCAUUAGCUAGUUGGUAAGGUAACGGCUUACCAAGGCAACGACGCAUAGCCGACCUGAGAGGGUGAUCGGCCACACUGGAACUGAGACACGGUCCAGACUCCUACGGGAGGCAGCAGUAGGGAAUCUUCCGCAAUGGGCGAAAGCCUGACGGAGCAACGCCGCGUGAGUGAUGAAGGUCUUCGGAUCGUAAAACUCUGUUAUUAGGGAAGAACAUAUGUGUAAGUAACUGUGCACAUCUUGACGGUACCUAAUCAGAAAGCCACGGCUAACUACGUGCCAGCAGCCGCGGUAAUACGUAGGUGGCAAGCGUUAUCCGGAAUUAUUGGGCGUAAAGCGCGCGUAGGCGGUUUUUUAAGUCUGAUGUGAAAGCCCACGGCUCAACCGUGGAGGGUCAUUGGAAACUGGAAAACUUGAGUGCAGAAGAGGAAAGUGGAAUUCCAUGCGUAGCGGUGAAAUGCGCAGAGAUAUGGAGGAACACCAGUGGCGAAGGCGACUUUCUGGUCUGUAACUGACGCUGAUGUGCGAAAGCGUGGGGAUCAAACAGGAUUAGAUACCCUGGUAGUCCACGCCGUAAACGAUGAGUGCUAAGUGUUAGGGGGUUUCCGCCCCUUAGUGCUGCAGCUAACGCAUUAAGCACUCCGCCUGGGGAGUACGACCGCAAGGUUGAAGCUCAAAGGAAUUGACGGGGACCCGCACAAGCGGUGGAGCAUGUGGUUUAAUUCGAAGCAACGCGAAGAACCUUACCAAAUCUUGACAUCCUUUGACAACUCUAGAGAUAGAGCCUUCCCCUUCGGGGGACAAAGUGACAGGUGGUGCAUGGUUGUCGUCAGCUCGUGUCGUGAGAUGUUGGGUUAAGUCCCGCAACGAGCGCAACCCUUAAGCUUAGUUGCCAUCAUUAAGUUGGGCACUCUAAGUUGACUGCCGGUGACAAACCGGAGGAAGGUGGGGAUGACGUCAAAUCAUCAUGCCCCUUAUGAUUUGGGCUACACACGUGCUACAAUGGACAAUACAAAGGGCAGCGAAACCGCGAGGUCAAGCAAAUCCCGUAAAGUUGUUCUCAGUUCGGAUUGUAGUCUGCAACUCGACUACAUGAAGCUGGAAUCGCUAGUAAUCGUAGAUCAGCAUGCUACGGUGAAUACGUUCCCGGGUCU